GUCACCGUCCACUGUUCGGUUCGUCUGAUAAGGCGGGAUAUCAUCGGAGAGGGCUUGCCGCUGCUGCCGUACUGCUGAUAUGGACACACCACAGAGCAUCGCUAGCGACAAAACAAAUCAACAACAACGACAACACAGACGGGCGCGAGAUACUCUAGAUGCAUACACCGAUGUACAUAUAUACACAUUGUACAUCCGCACACAUUCUCAUAUAUAAAUAUAUGUAUGUAAAUGUAUUUUGAAGGUUUCACAAAAGCACAGCAUCCUUUACAUGUUAUCUACAGAUGCAGAAGCAGUUAUUUACAUAUAUUCCGUGACCGUAUAAACAAUUGUAACUUCUCUGCUGUCUCCACUUACACAAAUGUAUAUACACGACCGAUAGCCGACCCUUUGAUUAUUUAAACUGUAAGUUUGUUUUCUUAUUAUUUACAUAUGCACAUGUAUGGGAGUGUGUGUAUAUAGAACGACAGAGAAUGGCGCAAGCACAGCAAACGAGUAGAAUAUCAGCGCGAAAUGAAUUCAAAAUCUUCUACGUCCAAAUAAACCGAAAGCCAGAACAUAAA